CUCAUCUGGUUUGGCGCCUCCCUACAAUCUCACUAGAGUACGACUACUAUUUUUCUCUGAAGUUGCCUAUUUUGUGUAUAGUGCUAGACAUUAUGAGCUGCUCUAUUCUAUUUUGUGUACAUCUAGUUUGCCUCUAUCAGUAUUCUUUUUAAGAAGGCCGCGCAUGUCUCUCCAAAAUCUUCAACUUUCGGUCUCGUAAUAUUUCUGUAGGCUCUUCCUCACCUCACCUUUUCUCUCUCCCUGAUCGAGCACCUUCGCCAUGGGAGAGGAAGGUUGUUUCAUCCGCCUGCUGUACUGCUGCUCUAGGGGACAUGCACCUGCUUGUUGUGCUGCUGCUCUGUACGCCAUGGACAUCCCUCCUCUGGUUCUCCUCGCUCGUCAAGGUAGUAAGCUGCUCUAACCCAUCUUCCCCUCUCAAAUUCGGUACAAGAAAAUGAUUUUUGUAACUGGACAUCAAAAGCAGAACCGGUGUGUGUUGUUGGUCAAGCAAGAAGAAAGAAAAAAGGCAUCCGUUGCCUGCAAAACAAAUCUGUGUGUGUGCUGCUCUCCUCCUCCUCUGUUUUUGCUUGUGUCAAUUUGCUCCAACAGCUUGCGCGCGUGUGUGCAUCCAUUGGGAGAGAGAGAGGCUCUUGCCAACACCUCUACAAUCUCACCGGAGUUCUAUUUUUCUGUGAUGUUGCCUAUUUUGUUGUUGAAAUUGACCGUAUCCCUGUGUCAAAUGGAUAUUUUUUCCUCCAUUGAAAUGAAGCAUAUUGCUUUUGAGUGCUCACAUUGACAUUACUGUGGAAUAAAAUGUUCAUUAUAUGCUCUUCUGUUGAAUAACGUGUAAAACAGGUCCAGCCAUUUGCCAAGUCUAUUAUAUUUGUUCUAAAAGAAAAGAAAAAAAAAACAGGUUCUUGCCUAUCUAUAGUAUAUGUGUUUUCAAAAAAGCUGUAUCUUUUUCUUCGAGAGAGAUGCACUUCUGUAUCAACAUUCUUUUUAAAAAGUGACACAUGUCUAUCCAAAAUUUUGAACUUCAUGGCCUCGUAUAAUUUCUUGAGUUGGUGAAAGUAAUUGCCGGAUACUGAGAGUAACCACAACAGAUAAAUAUGUCAUCAAACCACCAUGUUCUACCCCAUUUUGGAGGAACAAGAUUAAAGUCAUACCAGCAGAAUUAACUACAUGAAAGGUCCAUCCUUUUCAGGAAAAACCCACCGUGCAGCCCUACGAGCAAGUUCAUGAGCAGAAGGAUUGAGCUCAAUCAAUAAAUUUGAAUACUGGCUAGGCACACAUCCACACGGAAACCAGUACUAGAUCGAACAGUAUUGACCAUGGGUUCAGGUUGACAAUGGUCAUAAACCUCUCAUCACUUUGGUAUGUUGAUUGACCUCUUUUUUGCACUGCAUGUGCAGGUGCUAAACAUUGGUACGUGUUGGUGGGGCUCGACAAGCUCACCCAGGGAGGGCACCCCCAAGCUGAACUCCAUGGAGCCCCGCUCCAGCGUCUAGGACAGGUCUUUGUUACUGGAUCCAUUACUAGGACAUGAUUUCUUCUUUUCCUUCUCCAUUUGAGAUCAACAUUCGUUAUGUCCUUCUUGUGCAGCAGCAGCAGGAUUCCAUCGGUACACGAGAUGACAAGGGGUUCAUCGAGGUGUGUGGUGGUAGGCUCUUUCGUUGGACCCGCUGCCUGUUCGGCAUCGGCUCCAUAACAGUCAUGAACCAACUAGCCUGUCCUUCCAUUUGUGGUAUUGAUGGCCAUGGACCACGGUUCUAGUAGUCGGCAAAGCACGUAUCUACUAACUGCUCCUAUCCAGGAUGCGUGCAAAAGGUGUCACAUCAUCGCGUUCCUAUUCUCAUCCCCCCGGCAAAACAUCAUUGUACACAAUGUUGAUGCAACAAUUGCAACUUGCAAGCUCUAUACUAGUUUCAAUGGAACCUGGGACUAGCAUAGGCCCUGGGACUAGCCGGGGUCCAAACAUAUAUUUUAUAUUCAAAUACAGUUGGAGUGAAUCAUCAUGUCUGUGUUGCUGGGUUAGUGUAGAAUAUAGCCCAUUCUUUCUAAAUUAGAGACUUGGUGGCUGGAGUAGGCACUAUGUAAACUGGGCAUCCUAUCAUUAUUCGGAUUCAGGAAAAACAGUAUAGCUCAACAUGUGAAUAUAUGUCCAGUUCUUUUUGGUUUUCAUGUAAAUGGUGAUAAUUUGGAAUAUAUCAAACCAUAGCCUGUCCUUACACGAUUA